AUACAUUUACAUGGUGGUGGAGAGGUACUCAAAGGGGAGGAUGUAAGUAUACAUUUACAUGGUGGUGGAGAGGUACUCAAAGGGGAGGAUGUAAGUAUACAUCUACAGGGUGGUGGAGAGGUACUCAAAGGGGAAGAUGUAAGUAUACAUCUACAUGGUGGUGGAGAGGUACUCAAAGGGGGAGAUGUAAGUAUACAUCUACAGGGUAAUACGGUUUUUUGUCUCGCCUGCAACGAAAGUAGCAGUAUGCGAGACAUAGGUAUUACUAUCAGGCGGCGGUGUAAACUUUUUGUAUAAGGCUUUAUAUUUCAGAAGGUAGAAGACUUGGAUGCUUCAAACCUUGUAUGCAGAUACCUUAUGUUACGAAGUUUCCGUCUGUCAUAUGUCCAUUCUCCUUGACCUCAUUUGUAUGGUUCAGCGACUGCUUGAAAAAAAGUUACAGUUUUAUUGUCAUGUCAAUUUCUCACUUAUUAUGUGUAGUAGGAUAACGAUAUUUUGUAUAUGGGUUCCUUGCAACGUCUACAUGUCAGUCAGACAGGGUUCACCUGACCUCAACCUCAUUUCAUGGAUCAGUGAUCAAGGUUAAAGUUACGUGACUAGGUCUGUUUCUCAGAUACUGUAAGCAGUAGGUCAACUAUAUGUGGUGUAUGGAAUGAUUGUAAGGUGUACAUGUCAGUCUGGCAGAUUUCAUUUGACCUUGACCUCAUUUUCAUGGUUCAUUGGUCAAUAUUAAGUUUUUGUGUUUAGUCUGUUUUUCCAGUACUUCAAGCAAUAGGUCAACUAUAU